rnacentral:rRNA from 1 species
UACGGGGGGGGGCAAGCGUUGUUCGGAAUUACUGGGCGUAAAGGGCUCGUAGGUGGCCAACUAAGUCAGACGUGAAAUCCCUCGGCUUAACCGGGGAACUGCGUCUGAUACUGGAUGGCUUGAGUUCGGGGAGAGGGAUGCGGAAUUCCAGGUGUAGCGGUGAAAUUCGUAGAUAUUCGGAGGAACACCAGUGGCGAAGGCGGCUCACUGGUCCGGUACUGACGCUGAGGUGCGAAAGCGUGGGGAGCAAACAGG